UACGUAGGUGGCAAGCGUUAUCCGGAAUUAUUGGGCGUAAAGAGCGCGCAGGUGGUUGAUUAAGUCUGAUGUGAAAGCCCACGGCUUAACCGUGGAGGGUCAUUGGAAACUGGUCGACUUGAGUGCAGAAGAGGGAAGUGGAAUUCCAUGUGUAGCGGUGAAAUGCGUAGAGAUAUGGAGGAACACCAGUGGCGAAGGCGGCUUCCUGGUCUGUAACUGACACUGAGGUGCGAAAGCGUGGGGAGCAAACAGGAUUAGA
rnacentral:rRNA from 1 species